rnacentral:misc_RNA from 1 species
GUGAAUCAUCAAAUUUUUGAACGCAAAUUGCACUCUCUGGUAUUCCGUGGAGUAUGCCUGUUUGAGGGUCAGUUUAACUUAAAAUCGGUGUGUUUUCUGCCUUUCGUUGUUACUUACCGGAUUUUGGUCGUCUUUCCUUCGUUUAAGUUACCUAAAGUUUUGCAUGAUUUUUUCAAACGUAUUUAAAUGACUUUACGUAAGUUUGCUAUAUCGAAUACUAGGUGUGGUCAUCCUCAUGAUUGGCUCAUAUAAUUUUUCAUCAAAAUUACCUCAAAUCAUGUAAGAGUACCCGCUGAACUUA